CAACGAUCGGUAGCCGGACUGAGAGGUCGAUCGGCCACAUUGGGACUGAGACACGGCCCAGACUCCUACGGGAGGCAGCAGUGGGGAAUAUUGCGCAAUGGGGGAAACCCUGACGCAGCGACGCCGCGUGAAGGAAGAAGGCUUUCGGGUUGUAAACUUCUUUGAUUGGGGACGAAGAAAGUGACGGUACCCAAAAAACAAGCCACGGCUAACUACGUGCCAGCAGCCGCGGUAAUACGUAGGUGGCGAGCGUUGUCCGGAAUUACUGGGUGUAAAGGGCGUGUAGGCGGGAAGGCAAGUCAGAUGUGAAAUACCAUGGCUCAACUGUGGGGGUGCAUCUGAAACUGUCUUUCUUGAGUGCUGGAGAGGGAAGUGGAAUUCCUAGUGUAGCGGUGAAAUGCGUAGAUAUUAGGAGGAACACCAGUGGCGAAGGCGGCUUCCUGGACAGUAACUGACGCUGAGGCGCGAAAGCGUGGGGAGCGAACAGGAUUAGAUACCCUGGUAGUCCACGCUGUAAACGAUGGAUACUAGGUGUAGGGGGUAUCGACCCCCUCUGUGCCGGAGUUAACACAAUAAGUAUCCCACCUGGGACUACGACCGCAAGGUUGAAACUCAAAGGAAUUGACGGGGGCCCGCACAAGCAGUGGAGUAUGUGGUUUAAUUCGAAGCAACGCGAAGAACCUUACCAGGGCUUGACAUCCCUUGACAGCACUAGAGAUAGUGUUUUCCUUCGGGACAAGGAGACAGGUGGUGCAUGGUUGUCGUCAGCUCGUGUCGUGAGAUGUUGGGUUAAGUCCCGCAACGAGCGCAACCCCUGUUGUUAGUUGCCAGCACGUAGUGGUGGGCACUCUAACGAGACUGCCGGUGACAAAUCGGAGGAAGGUGGGGACGACGUCAAAUCAUCAUGCCCCUUAUGUCCUGGGCUACACACGUACUACAAUGGCUGUUACAGACGGAAGCGAAGGCGCAAGUCGGAGCAAAUCUGAUAAAAACAGUCCCAGUUCGGAUUGAGGGCUGCAACCCGCCCUCAUGAAGUCGGAAUUGCUAGUAAUGGCAGGUCAGCAUACUGCCGUGAAUACGUUCCCGGGCCUUGUACACACCGCCCGUCACACCAUGAGAGUUGCAACACCCGAAGUCAGUAGUUUAACCAGUAAUGGAGAGCGCUGCCGAAG
rnacentral:rRNA from 1 species